rnacentral:misc_RNA from 1 species
GAAAUGCGAUAAGUAAUGUGAAUUGCAGAAUUCAGUGAAUCAUCGAAUCUUUGAACGCACCUUGCGCCUUUUGGUAUUCCGAAAGGCAUGCCUGUUUGAGUGUCAUGAAAUAUCAACCCCUCCUGGUUUCUGAUCAGUGUUGGGCUUGGACUUGGGUGUCUGCCAGUCCGCUGGCUCGCCUUAAAAGAGUUAGUGGUAAUAACAUCCACGGCUAAGACGUAAUAAGUUUCGUCUGGUCAAGGUGUGACGACUGCUCAUAACCCGACCGCAAGGUCAUUAUUUUAUGCUCUGACCUCAAAUCAGGUAGGACUACCCGCUGAACUUAA